ACUCUUGAGGCUCAGUUAAUAGAGCAUGAGACUCUUAAUCUCAGGGUUGUGGGUUCGAGCCCCACUUUGGGCA